GUUAGGAAUAUUGGACAAUGGGCGCAAGCCUGAUCCAGCCAUGCCGCGUGAGUGAUGAAGGCCUUCGGGUUGUAAAGCUCUUUAGUCCACGAAUAUAAUGACUGUAGUGGAAGAAUAAGCCCCGGCUAACUUCGUGCCAGCAGCCGCGGUAAUACGAAGGGGGCGAGCGUUAUUCGGAAUCACUGGGCGUAAAGCGUGCGUAGGCUGUUUUGUAAGUCAGAAGUGAAAGCCCAGGGCUCAACCCUGGAAUUGCUUUUGAAACUACAAGACUCGAAUUCGGGAGAGGAUAGCGGAAUUGUCAGUGUAGCAGUGAAAUGCGUAGAUAUUGACAGGAACACCAGUGGCGCAAGCGGCUAUCUGGACCGAUAUUGACGCUGAGGCACGAAAGCGUGGGGAGCAAACAGGAUUAGAAACCCGGGUAGUCC
rnacentral:rRNA from 1 species